rnacentral:rRNA from 1 species
UGCCUACGGGACGCAGCAGUAGGGAAUCUUCCACAAUGGACGAAAGUCUGAUGGAGCAACGCCGCGUGAGUGAAGAAGGGUUUCGGCUCGUAAAGCUCUUUUGGUAGUGAAAAAAGAUAGAGGUAGUAACUGGCCUUUAUUUGACGGUAAUUACUUAGAAAGUCACGGCUAACUACGUGCCAGCAGCCGCGGUAAUACGUAGGUGGCAAGCGUUGCCCGGAUUUAUUGGGCGUAAAGCGAGUGCAGGCGGUUCCAUAAGUCUGAUGUGUAAGCCUUCGGCUCAA